AUGAACGCUGGCGGCGUGCUUAACACAUGCAAGUCGAACGAACCUUCGGGUUAGUGGCGGACGGGUGAGUAACGCGUGAGAAUCUGCCCUCAGGAGGGGGAUAACGGCUGGAAACGGCCGCUAAUACCCCAUAUGCCGAGAGGUGAAAUGAAUUUCGCCUGAGGAUGAGCUCGCGUCUGAUUAGCUUGUUGGUGGGGUAAUGGCCUACCAAGGCGACGAUCAGUAGCUGGUCUGAGAGGAUGAUCAGCCACACUGGGACUGAGACACGGCCCAGACUCCUACGGGAGGCAGCAGUGGGGAAUUUUCCGCAAUGGGCGAAAGCCUGACGGAGCAACGCCGCGUGAGGGAUGAAGGCCUCUGGGCUGUAAACCUCUUUUAUCAAGGAAGAAGAUCUGACGGUACUUGAUGAAUAAGCCACGGCUAAUUCCGUGCCAGCAGCCGCGGUAAUACGGGAGUGGCAAGCGUUAUCCGGAAUUAUUGGGCGUAAAGCGUCCGCAGGCGGCCUGACAAGUCUGCUGUUAAAGCGUGGAGCUUAACUCCAUUUCAGCAGUGGAAACUGUCAGGCUUGAGUGUGGUAGGGGCAGAGGGAAUUCCCGGCGUAGCGGUGAAAUGCGUAGAUAUCGGGAAGAACACCAGUGGCGAAAGCGCUCUGCUGGGCCAUCACUGACGCUCAUGGACGAAAGCCAGGGGAGCGAAAGGGAUUAGAUACCCCUGUAGUCCUGGCCGUAAACGAUGAACACUAGGUGUCGGGGGAAUCGACCCCUCCGGUGUCGUAGCCAACGCGUUAAGUGUUCCGCCUGGGGAGUACGCACGCAAGUGUGAAACUCAAAGGAAUUGACGGGGGCCCGCACAAGCGGUGGAGUAUGUGGUUUAAUUCGAUGCAACGCGAAGAACCUUACCAGGGCUUGACAUCCUGCGAAUCUCUGGGAAACCGGAGAGUGCCUUCGGGAACGCAGUGACAGGUGGUGCAUGGCUGUCGUCAGCUCGUGUCGUGAGAUGUUGGGUUAAGUCCCGCAACGAGCGCAACCCACGUCUUUAGUUGCCAGCAUUUAGUUGGGCACUCUAGAGAGACCGCCGGUGACAAACCGGAGGAAGGUGUGGAUGACGUCAAGUCAUCAUGCCCCUUACGUCCUGGGCUACACACGUACUACAAUGCUACGGACAAAGAGCAGCUAACUCGCGAGAGUACGCAAAUCUCAUAAACCGUGGCUCAGUUCAGAUCGUAGGCUGCAACUCGCCUACGUGAAGGAGGAAUCGCUAGUAAUCGCAGGUCAGCAUACUGCGGUGAAUACGUUCCCGGGCCUUGUACACACCGCCCGUCACACCAUGGAAGUUGGCCACGCCCGAAGUCGUUACUCCAACCCUCUGGGAGGAGGACGCCGAAGGUGGGGCUGAUGACUGGGGUGA
rnacentral:rRNA from 1 species